AUUGAACGCUGGCGGUAUGCUUAACACAUGCAAGUCGAACGGCAGCAUGGAGGAGCUUGCUCCUCUGAUGGCGAAUGGCGGACGGGUGAGUAAUAUAUAGGAAUCUACCUUAUAGACUGGGAUAACUACUCGAAAGAGUGGCUAAUACCGGAUGUGGAUUGAGGUUUAAAGCAGGGGACCUUCGGGCCUUGCGCUAUAAGAUGAGCCUAUACAAGAUUAGCUAGUUGGUGGGGUAAAGGCCUACCAAGGCGACGAUCUUUAGCUGUUCUGAGAGGAUGAUCAGCCACACUGGGACUGAGACACGGCCCAGACUCCUACGGGAGGCAGCAGUGGGGAAUAUUGGACAAUGGGCGCAAGCCUGAUCCAGCAAUACCGCGUGUGUGAAGAAGGCCUUAGGGUUGUAAAGCACUUUUGUUAGGGAGAAUGGUCUUUGUACUAAUAGUAGUAGAGGCUGAUGUUACCUAAAG
rnacentral:rRNA from 1 species